UACGGAGGGUGCAAGCGUUAUCCGGAUUUACUGGGUUUAAAGGGUGCGUAGGUGGACUAGUAAGUCAGUGGUGAAAAUCUCCGGGCUUAACCCGGAAACUGCCAUUGAUACUAUUGGUCUUGAAUACUUUGGAGGUAAGCGGAAUAUGUCAUGUAGCGGUGAAAUGCUUAGAUAUGACAUAGAACACCAAUUGCGAAGGCAGCAUACUACAGAGUGAUUGACGACUGAAGGCAC
rnacentral:rRNA from 1 species